rnacentral:rRNA from 1 species
UACGAAGGGGGCUAGCGUUGCUCGGAAUCACUGGGCGUAAAGCGCACGUAGGCGGCUUCUUAAGUCAGGGGUGAAAUCCUGGAGCUCAACUCCAGAACUGCCUUUGAUACUGAGGAGCUUGAGUCCGGGAGAGGUGAGUGGAACUGCGAGUGUAGAGGUGAAAUUCGUAGAUAUUCGCAAGAACACUAGUGGCGAAGGCGGCUCACUGGCCCGGUACUGACGCUGAGGUGCGAAAGCGUGGGGAGCAAACAGG